ensembl:lncRNA
CACAAACCCAACCCAAGUGGUUCUACAAGUGGGCAAGGAUGCAGGGAUUCAGGAGCCAGCUUCUGCCUUGAAGACCAUCUGAGUGGUGGAGGGGAACCUCUGACCUGGGAACAUUCAAUCCAUCAGGAAACAGCUAGUGCCCCACAGCGAAUAAAGAACUUCCUAACAGCAAUCUUUGAACACUCUGGAAAGAAAGAAAAUGGGGACCCCACCUUAUCGAUUCCACUGGAUCCAACUUGAUGUGUUUGAACUGACAUCUAAACUUGGUUUGGACUACAUCCCUCUAGACAACUCUGGAACAGCUAGCUGAGAUGGUGCACGUUCUAAUUACACUCUGGCCAGAGCUUCAGAUAAGAACUUCAAUCAAAACAAGGACUUCAAUCAAGAUAAGGACUUCUAUUAAGAAUGUCAAUCAAAUAUCUCCUGCCAAACAAAAGCUGGGUACAAAUGUUGUAGCUAGUUCACUCAAGACUUUCACUACUAUAACAUUUUCUUCCUACAGGACCCCAUGGGGCAAUCGUCAUUCCAUUUCACCAGGAAGUAACUCUGAGAAUACUACCCCCACUUUCCACACUGUUGAUACUAAGGAUAAUGUACACUUAGUUAGGGUUAGUUUCUAUUGUUUAAGGUUGUGUUUACAAGGAGGUGUUCAGGCUUGAACAUCUCUUUCAGAUGACUUUAGAGUUUAGAUGGAAUAGAUAUGAUUAGGAUGAGAUAUAGGUAGAUUAUUAUAUCUUCUUGUGAUUCACCUUAGUGAUUAUUAACUAUAGACAACUUACACUGUUAUAGAUCCUUGUAUGAUGUAACUUAUGUAUAAUUUGUAUGUCACACAUCAUCUUACUGUGUAAAGUCUUCUGCCUACUUACAAUGAUGUAUGCUCUUACAUAUGUUAAAACAUUUUGUACACAAUUUAGUUUUGUUUCAAGUUUAAUCCUUUUUAGACUAAAAGGGGAAUUGUAGGGAGAGACACUGGAUACCUGUACCGCUGACCAUGCCCAAACAGGUACAUAGAAGGGUCGGAUAAGGAGAGAGGAGGCACUUGCUCUCUCUUGGGGUUCAGGCCAGGUCUUGGAAGCAUCUGGAACCAGACCUCUCAGAGUGCCAAAUCUGGUUACUGGCUCCUUGUGUGAGUAUAUCUUCUUAAUAAAUUACCAGUUAAUAACCUAUCCUGGGUUCCAUCUUGUUCCUCUUCACACAUACAUAUAGAUAAUUUUUUUUUUUUAAAAAGAAAGCAAAGGCUGUGAAAGACCCCAACUCAAACCCAGCCUGAUACCCACCAGCAUGUAUUUGAAAAUCACUCUGGCCACACACAGCUCUGGGAAAAAGAACACAUGAAAUGGUCGGUCAUGAUGAUCAGUCUCUGGAAAUUGUUAUUAUUACUAGUUUCCAAGGAAUGUUAUUAUCUUCAACAACUGUCUGGUUUCUAAAAAUUGUUAUGGGUUAUCCUGCUCCAGAGCACCCAAGUUUUGAAAAUAAGUGUAAGUCACUCUGUUUCUGGAAAAACCACUAGCUGUCCCAUGGCCUUGCAGAUAUAAAAACCAAAAUAACAUUCCAAACCCCUCGUGGGCAAAAUUGUAAGUUCAGUUCCCAGCCAAUCAGUAAAUGACUCAUGUAUGUUAUAGCCAAUCAAUAUGUUGUCAUACUCCUGCCUAGUGACCAAAAAGACAUAAAAACUGCUUGCUUUGGAAACUCGGGGUCAUUCUCUUCCCAGGGAGCGACCCCAACACAUUGGAAUAAAAUCCCUUUGCUUUUGCUUCAAACUUGUGUCCUG